AAAAUCCCUAGAACUGAGUGUUAGGAUUGCAUGUGAGAACUGCAGGCUUCCAUGCAAACUGCACACUUCGUAACAGGAAGUAGCCACUGCUGAGCAUAGCACAAAACACACUAAAAUGAGUCAGUUCCUAUUUGUAGUGGUUUCAGCAAAAUCAACAAGUAAAUCUCGUGGCACGUUAGAGUCUACCAAAUUAAUUAUGGCCCACAUAUACUGUGGACUACAGUGCACAUUUGUGAAAUUUGUGGCCCUCCAGAUGCUGUUGGAUUCCACAUCCCAUCAGCCCCAGCCAGAAGGAUCAAAAGUUAUGGAUGAUAGGAGUUAUAGUCGAGUCAUCUGGAAGACACCAUGUUGACAACCACUGUUCAACCCUUUACUUGAAAGAAAUAAUCCUAUUAACCACACACUGUUGCUGUUUUCUGUUGUUAACAACGUAGCAUAACCAUUUUUGGACAUUCUUUCUGCCAAGAGGGGCUGAAAGGGGAGAUGCUUUGCAUUUAUGUGGCACAAAGGCAACAUUUUCAGCAGUGAGAACAACCUUUUUCAUUUGGUUGUUUGAUGUGGCUAUCGAGAAAUCAAAGCCCAAAAGAUCAAAAGAUUACGGUAUUAAAGGAAGAUUAUUGUGCUUCAGUUUAAUGGAAAAUACUCCGCACAAGCUUUAAAAAACACACAAAAACACAUUGCAUCCCAACUUUAUGAACAGUAGUUUGCUCUUUAAUCCACUUAUAACCUCUUGGGACAUUAUCAGGAGUCCUUUAGGUGUGCAGAAGGGGUUCCUCGCAUACUCUGCCAUCUAGCUUAAGCUUACCCUCCAUGCAGCCUAUAAACACUACCUGGUGUCGCUAUGCAAAUUUCUUCUUCCAAAAAUCCUCAGGGGAUUGUCAAAAAGUAAGCAGAGCAGCUAUUACCAAAGAAGAAACAGUUUGCAAUCCUAACUCUUGACUACAGUGGGAUUUAAUUUGGAGCAGGUGUGGGGAACGUUUUGCCCACCAGAUGUUGAUAAACUACAAGUACUAUCAUCCCUGACCAUUGACCACGUUUACUGAGACUGAUGGGCUUUGUAGCUCAGCCACAUUUAGAGGGCGAAAGGUUUCCUAAUGCUGAUUUUGAAUAAAAUUGUUUAGGACUGGACAUGCAGCUUGUUUGCAGUCUUCAGGGUGGUAGCCUAGGAUUACCUUCUGCUUGUUGACUCCUUUUCUUCUUACUUCACAGACAACAGUAGUCAUGGUGCUGCCUCCAGGGUGGAGCUGCUGCAAACUUCAGGUGCUAACGCACAUUCCCCACAUAUUUCUUCUAGGGCGUAUGACAUUGACUCACAACAAAAUUGACUGUAGGCAUCUUGUUAUGCAUGGUGGUUGUGUUGCCAGCGCUUAAAGUAAUGGCGUGUUGCUGUUAAUCCAUUGACUCCGCAAUGUUGCCAGUCACAAUGGGAAGCACAUGGUUCUCCUCAAACAGCCUUUGGUGAGUCAUCCCUGUAGUCUCUUCUACACCAAAGGCUUGUUGGACUUGCAGGGGUGAGAAAAGUUCAGCGAGAAAGAGAAAGGUAUUCCUUCGUUUUAUCACCUCCCUGAAGUGUUCUGAGCUUGGUCAAGAUAAGUCUCCCUCAGGUAAACAUUCAGUCUCAAAGAAAUGUCUCUUUAUGGUCUUCCCUUCACAAAUACAAGCCUUGUUGAACAAGAUGAAAAUGGCAGGAAUUGCCUUGAGGGAGCAUU
rnacentral:lncRNA from 1 species